rnacentral:lncRNA from 1 species
AAUGACUGUAUUAGUGUUUUCUAGAACAACAGAUUCUAUAGAAUGAGAGGGAGGGGGCAUUUAUUAGAAUGGUCUACAAGCUGUGAUCUAGCUAAUCUAGCAAUCCACACACUGAAAGUCUGAGAAUCUAAUAGUUGUACAUUCCAUGAUGCUGCAUGUUUUAGCUGGUCUUCAAUGUAUGCAUGUGUUCCAACACGUAUGUCCUAAUGCCACUGAAGGAAUGGACUCACCAACAAAAGCACAAGUGGACACACAAAGAGAAGGGGCUUCCUUCUUAACAUCUUCUAUAUAGGCUGCCAGUAGAAGGUUAAGGCUAUAUUAAAGGUUGAUCUUCCCACCCCAAAAGAUCUGGAUUAAGAGUGGGUCUUCCCAUUUCAAAAUAUUUAAUUACGGGGGAAAAAGUCUCUCACAGGUAUCCCCAGAUCUUGGGUUUUGGUUAAUUUCUGCUGUUGUCAAGUUGACAAACAAAAAUAAACACUACAGUGACCAA